UGUUUGGUUCAUACCAUGGUAAUAACCGAGAGAGGCAAUUGCUAAGUUGUGAUACUCUCAUACCUUUACUAGACGCGAACAAUUCCGGAGAAGAAGAAGAAGUGGAAUCGAACGAGGAUUUUAUUUAUAUUGUUGGUAUUCUUAUAUUGAUGAAGAUGAAGAAGUCCAGGGACAAAUAAGCCAAGGCAAGCCAUCUUUUGAUCUCUGAUAUGAUGUCUCUUUGGAUGUCAUCUUGUGCUAUCAAUAGCAUCUUGGUUCUAUGUGUGAUGAUCUCCAUAUUGUUGUCAUCUAUGCUUGGAUGCAAGCAUGGUACCUCUAGUAGUUUUAUCUUGUCAAGGUCUUGGUAAUUGGUUGGGUGUAUGGUAUCAUGGCCAUUGCUAUCCAACUUGUUUUCUAUUUUUAGCUUGAACAUGUUCCACCUCGGGACAAGAUUCAUACUACACCCCCUUCUAGUGUAGAGGUAUCAAUACCAUGAUUUUGGUGUAUUCUCAAAUUGUGAUGAGUAUGCCUGAUUCCCUUAA